rnacentral:rRNA from 1 species
CCUACGGGAGGCAGCAGUGAGGAAUAUUGGUCAAUGGACGAGAGUCUGAACCAGCCAAGUAGCGUGCAGGAUGACGGCCCUCUGGGUUGUAAACUUCUUUUAUAUGGGAAUAAAAUGGUGCUCGUGAGGGACUUUGUAUGUGUCAUAUGAGUAAAGAUCGGCGAACUCCGCGCCCGCAGCCGCGGUAAUACGGAGGAUCCGAGCGUUAUCCGGAUUUAUUGGGUUUAAAGGGAGCGUAGGUGGGCUGUUAAGUCAGUUGUGAAAGUUUGCGGCUCAACCGUAGAAUUGCAGUUGAAACUGGCGGUCUUGAGUACAGUAGAGGAUGGCGGAAUUCGUGGUGUAGCGGUGAAAUGCUUAGAUAUCACGAAGAACUCCGAUUGCGAAGGCAGGUGACCGGAGUGCAACUGACACUGAGGCUCGAAAGUGCGGGUAUCAAACAGGAUUAGAUACCCUUGUAGUC